AGGAUGAGUAAGAGAUACUUACAGAAAGCAACAAAAGGAAAACUGCUAAUAAUAAUAUUUAUUGUAACCUUGUGGGGAAAAGUCGUAUCCAGUGCAAACCAUCAUAAAGCUCACCAUGUUAAAACGGGAACUUGUGAGGUGGUGGCACUCCACAGAUGCUGUAAUAAGAACAAGAUAGAAGAACGGUCACAAACAGUCAAGUGCUCCUGCUUCCCCGGGCAGGUGGCAGGCACCACGCGAGCUGCUCCAUCAUGUGUGGAUGCUUCAAUAGUGGAACAGAAAUGGUGGUGCCAUAUGCAGCCAUGUCUAGAGGGAGAAGAAUGUAAAGUUCUUCCGGAUCGGAAAGGAUGGAGCUGUUCCUCUGGGAAUAAAGUCAAAACAACUAGGGCAAACGUGUAAAACUCUUCAAGUUCGAAUGGAGAAGUAGAAAGAGAAGGUUUCUGCUGUGCCUGAUGACAAUUUUUGAUUUCUCCACACUCAAAACAGUUUUGGCUCCAUGUUGGAGCACUAGUUGUGGCGAAUCCUAGUGUUGGUCGGAUUCUAAGGAAGGGACAGAAGUUUCAUUGAGAAGUAAAGAUUCAAAACAACUCCAGAAAUGAGCUCCCGUCUUGGUUUACUGCUCACAAAGCAGCAGGUAACCCAUUAACCCAGGAGAAAUCAAGUGAUCCUCAAGGCUGAUGACAUUGAACAUACGCAUAGAAACUUAACUCCUGGGGUGAUCUUGAAGAUUUUUAUACCACUUGAAAGAGGCGCUCAAGAGUCUAUUUCCAAGGGAUUUCAUGGCCUCUUCUUGAAAUCAAGACUUUUUAAAAGUCAGACAUGAACUUCUAUAUCAUGAAGAUUUCAGCAGAUUUGAACUGUGUUCCACUUGUAAAUUGUUAAAAGAAUUUGAAGUCACUGUCUGCGGAGCUGGUGAAGAGUUGUUUUUUCAGGGUGAUGUCAGAGACAGUCACCUUUUGAGUUAUUGGCUCCAGAUGUGACUACUUUUCUUGUUUCUGCAAGCUGUAUCCCAAGUGCACUGUCCUUCUGUCCUGGAUGUGUUCAUUUGCUAGUGGGACUACACAUGGCUUUAAUGACAUUUCCUUUGAGAACUUUUCCUCUGGCAUGGUGUAGACUGAGACAAUUUUAUUUAUAUCCUAACCUUGGAGCUCGGAAAGCCUACAUGUUUUAACAUCUUAAAGUUGCUUUUGUUAAAGGAAUGGAAAUAUAUAUCCAUUGGUAAUAACAUUGGCAAGUAAUAGUUAUCUGAAUAAAUCAAUCAUAUAAGAAUGUAUAGACAAGCUGACAUAUUUCCCUAAGGCUAACAACACCCUCCUGAAGCUCUUUGUCAAAUAUGUAGUACUUAGAACUGGAUUACCAUUUUCAUUAUAUAAUACUUUGUACCUCUAGAGCACUCUCCCUUUCUGUUUUUUUUUUUAAGUGAACUUUUCUUUAAUUUUUUAUGUUUACUUAUUCCCUUCACAGAAAUCAGCAGUGAGCAGUCAAGUUACUGGGUAGCCUUCAGUUCCAACAAAAUUGACAGGGAUGCAUGUGAGUUUCUGAUUUCUUAGUUUGAACAUUAUUCACUUAGAUUUCUUCUAGUAUUUUUUUAAAAAACUGUCCUAUCUCAUUUUAAAAGACUUUCUUUUGCUUGAUCCCAAUGACUGUUUGAAUGCUAAUAUAUUUGUUCAAUCUGUUGAUAGAAGAAAUUGUUCCUUUUCCUCAGUCUCAUUUUUAUAAAUAUUUGCUUACAGUUUUCCUAUUCAAACAAUUUGUUAGGCCAAUAUUUUGUGACAUUUUUGUAGCUAUUUUAACAUUUAUGGUUUUGGUUCUACAGGAAAGUCAUAAAUAUUUAAAGGCCUUAAACAUGUAUGCACUUUUUUCCCCUAAGUUAUGGAAUGUAUAAUUUUAUACUACAUUUGUUUUAUUUCAUUUGUGAUAUGAAGGGAGAGAAGAAAGAAAAUUGUGUAGCCAUUCUAUAACAAUAUUGUGUAAACCUAUAGUUUGAAGGAAUGCAAAGAGAGGGAUUUCUGUGUUUUACUCAUUUAAGACUACUCAGAAGAUGCUUCAUAAAUUGUCCUUUUAGAAUUUCCAUCAUGGAAGGUGGUAUGGAAGAAGGUAUGGAAAUAUCUUGUAUUCUAAAAACUCACUGGUAUGGUCAGUUAGACAUACGUUGGUUUCCAAGAUGGAGGCCCAUAUAUCCUGGGGAACUUUGGUCUAUUAGUUUGUGACAAUAUUCAAAGACCAAUACACUACUCAGACACUUUCCUAGGAAGAGCAACUAAAAAUGUAAAAUUGGUUAAAAAUAAAAUCUGAAAAGUAUACAUCUCCCACUGAACUAAAAUCCACUGUCUCAUAAGAUCGUGGAAUGAAAUUACUUUCUGCCUCCAUUUUAAUCAUGCAUAAAAUGAAUUAGAUGGCUUUGAGUGGAUUUUCACAAUGGCUCAAGACUAUAUAAAAUUAUAUAUAUAUAAAAAACCGGUUGUCCUGGAAUUUCUGCAUCAAUUAGAAUAUCAUUAAUUUCUUUGUAACCAAGUGAAAAGCUAUACUUUUUGGAAAUUAUGAAUUUGUCCUAGGUUUGUUUGAGAUUUGAGAUUAUAGAUCAUGCUUCUCAUUUUUAAACUAUGUUCUUUAAAUCAACACUGGAAACUCUGUAUUAUAUACAAGUGUAAUACAUGCAUAUAAUAGAAAAAAAUAUGUGGAAUUUCAAAUAUACUAACUAGAUUAUCCCCAGUAGAUUAAUGUUGUGACUAUUCAGAAAAGGUGAAUAAAAUUGGGAUAUAAAAUGAA